AUUGAACGCUGGCGGCAUGCCUUACACAUGCAAGUCGAACGGCAGCACGGGAGCAAUCCUGGUGGCGAGUGGCGAACGGGUGAGUAAUAUAUCGGGAACGUGCCCAGUCGUGGGGGAUAACGUAGCGAAAGCUACGCUAAUACCGCAUACGAUCUAUGGAUGAAAGCGGGGGAUCGCAAGACCUCGCGCGAUUGGAGCGGCCGAUAUCAGAUUAGGUAGUUGGUGAGGUAAAGGCUCACCAAGCCGACGAUCUGUAGCUGGUCUGAGAGGACGACCAGCCACACUGGGACUGAGACACGGCCCAGACUCCUACGGGAGGCAGCAGUGGGGAAUUUUGGACAAUGGGCGCAAGCCUGAUCAGCAAUGCCGCGUGCAGGAUGAAGGCCUUCGGUUGUAAC
rnacentral:rRNA from 1 species